GACGAACGCUGGCGGCGUGCUUAACACAUGCAAGUCGAACGGAAAGGCCCUGCUUUUGUGGGGUGCUCGAGUGGCGAACGGGUGAGUAACACGUGAGUAACCUACCCUUGACUUUGGGAUAACUUCAGGAAACUGGGGCUAAUACCGGAUAGGAGCUCCUGCUUCAUGGUGGGGGUUGGAGAGUUUCGGCGGUUGGGGAUGGACUCGCGGCUUAUCAGCUUGUUGGUGGGGUAGUGGCUUACCAAGGCUUUGACGGGUAGCCGGCCUGAGAGGGUGACCGGCCACAAUGGGACUGAGAUACGGCCCAGACUCCUACGGGAGGCAGCAGUGGGGAAUAAUGCACAAUGGGCGGAAGCCUGAUGCAGCAACGCCGCGUGCGGGAUGACGGCCUUCGGGUUGUAAACCGCUUUCGCCUGUGACGAAGCGUGAGUGACGGUAAUGGGUAAAGAAGCACCGGCUAACUACGUG
rnacentral:rRNA from 1 species